AAUUAAAGCAUCGGGGUGUUAUCAGCACUCUUCUCAUCCUAAGCCAAAACACAGCAUUCCACCAGCUACUAGGAAGAAAACUAAUUCUGUUCUAACUGAAACCAGGACAUCCCCUAAUCAGUUGUGUAUCUCAGCCUCCUGUGUGCAAGCACAGGCAUCAAAUUUUCUUGAAAAGUGCUUGAAUAGAGUAAAGCAUUAAUGUUUAGGUAUACUUUUGAUCCAGUUGAAAAUUAACUUUUUCUGUGCAAGUACAGAGACAUAGAGGCACUAUCUGCAGUUGGGUUGGCUUAUGUCAUGAAAUAAGUAUUCUGCAGAAUAGUGUUUGCACUUAGAGUUUGGUGGUUUUAAUUCUGCUUUUAGUUAGAUACCUAUUGUCCUUUAAAAAGGUACACCAGGGAAGAGAAUUUGAACGUAAUAAUACAUAUUUUGUUGUCAUUUGCUUGAAAUUUUUAAAAUUAUGUAUGUGACUUUUCUGGUACGUAGAGUUACUUAAUCCCAUGUCUUAAUAGGUUGCCAUCAGUAGCACAAAAUCUGCAGUUGUUACUGAUGUCUGUAGAAAAAGUUUUGAAUGUCUGUUAGUGAAUUAGGUCAGUUAGGUCAGUUAAUCUCUUGAUUGUUGGAAUUACGUGUUAAAUCUGGAUAUAAUGAGCUUAAGUUGACCUUUUGUGUCCAUAAAUAUGGUGUUACAAGAAAUCUUGAUUUGUUGCUCCACAAAUACUUUUUUUUCUUUAUGCAAAUACAUAAUGCAUGCUUUUUAAUACUUUCCAGAUAGGAACAUUGACCUUCAUCCUGAAGAAGACAUCACUUCCAUGAUACUUUGACAUAGUCCCCUGAAAAUGAAGCAAGAUUCUACUAGAAAUGCUGCUUACACAGUGGACUGUGAAGAUUAUGUGCAUGUGAUUGUACUGGGUCUGGCUGGAAUGUUAACUUUCCCGGCAGCAGCCCAUACAGUGCCGUACUCUGUACUUGUAGCUGGAACAGCAGUGUUAUCACACCAGUGUUGUGUCUACUGCUGAGCAGCAGUGGCACAGUAUUGGGCCUUUCUCUAACCCUCCUAGGGGAUGGGCAAAAAGUGAGGAGAGAAACAUCACUAGGGCGGCUGACCUAAACCAAUCAAAGGGAUAUUCCAUACCAUGUGAUGUCACACUCAGCAAUAAAAGGUGGAAACAGGAAGAAGAGGGGAGGGGUGGGCUCUCGUUGAGAAGACUUCGGUCCUCCUCUCAACACCGGCUGCUUGCGUUGAGGCCUUGCUUCAAGGACGUGUUCAGUCAUCGCUCAUUUGUGGCUUUCAGGUGGCUAUCAAAGCAGCAAAGAUUUCAAAUACCCGGAAUAGAAAGGAAUAAUGAAAAUUUCCAAAGUAAGUUUAGAGACAUUUAUUUUAAGGAAGGACAGUGGCAAAUAAUAACUUAAUAUACAUCUGCUUUCUAGGUUAUUUUUUUUACAUCUCUCUUACAGACUGUUAGAAACAGUAAAAUGUGUUUUUUUACCUUGACAUUAUUUCCAGUCACCAUAUCGUGAAAAUUUUUAAAAAGAUAGCAUACUGUGUAUAUUUAUAUGUAAUACUUUUUUUUAUUAUUAUUGAGGCACUUUUUUUUUUUUUUUUUUUUUUUUCCCUGGGUGCUUGAAAAUUGAUAGUAGAACACUCUCAUCUUUGGAAUCUA
rnacentral:lncRNA from 1 species